UGUUCCCUCAGCCGCCACAACUGCCCACUCCAGAUUCCGGCGGCUAUCACCGGCGCGGUGCACACCGCCAAGCUCGCCUCUCUCUGCUCCAUCCUCCCCUCUGGCAAGAUUUUCCCUUCCCGGCCUCUACCUCUCGCCAAUAACCAACACCCGUGCUAGGGUUUCGGCCUCUGGCAUCACCUUCCUCGUCGGCGCAUCUCCGACGACUCUUCUCCAUUGCCUACAGUGCCCCCACGCGCGCCCUUGCUUCCCGAUGGCCCACCUCCAGUAGGGCAGCACGGAGGAUCUCCUCCCGCAGGAUCCACGGAUGCGGCACACCUUGUGGACGCCGGUCCCGGACAAGGGCGGGCACGGCGGCCUUGUCCUGCUCGACAACGGUGGCGGCGAACACCGGUGCUCCUCCUUUCGACCUCCAAGGGGGAGCGCCGGUACAACACAGGCACAAGCACGCCCAGCCCCUGAACCCCUGUUCUUCACCCAUCCAAUGGCGUACAUGAUGUGCUCCUCCUCGAUGCGACUGUUCCCAGCGAGCUCUCUUCGCCUGAGGAGGCGGAGCAGCAAGUCAAGCACCCCCUUGGCCUCCUAUCCUGUAGCGCGUGGACGACCUCACCGUCGGCUGCGUUUAUGCCCUCCUAGCAUGAUAUUGGUUAUGGGAGCAUUUUCAACAACAAAGACAUGCGUUUUGACAACAUUGGCGUGGACGGGUUGAUUUGCUGCUAUAAAUGUUGGAUGACCCCUGGUUGGUGUGUGGCAGCCGAACAAGAGUGGCCUCGCUUGAUGGGGGCGGUGCUGGCUGCAGAGUAGCAUAGUGUUCUCCGAGACAUGCUUGUAAAAUUAAUGUUUUUGGGUCUUCUUUUUUCGCUCCUGUACAGGUGUAUUUUUGGAUAUGUUGUGAUUUUCUUUUUCUAAUGACAUGAGCAUAUACUUUCACUCAAAUUUUUAUUGGUUCAAAA